GAACCCGGUACCUCAGAUGGAAAUGCAGAAAUCACUGUCUUCUGCGUCGCUCAUGCUGGGAACUAUAGACCGGAGCUGUUCCUAUUCAGCCAUCUUGGCUCCUCCCCUUGAAUAUUCUUUGAAGAGCUUAUUUAAUUUUUUGCUCAUAUUUUCAACAUGAGAGGUUUAUAUCAGGCAGUCUCCACCCCUGUUCCGAAGUCAAGAGGCUGACUCGGGUUGCUACUUCUUGACAGACCGGACCCCAGAUCGUGAGUUCAAUCACUGGCAGGGCAAAUUGUUAUAUUUUCUUCCCCCCUCCUUUUAAAAGCAAUAUAGUAUAAGUUAUACCUUUAUUUUCCAAGUGCAGUGCUUACCUCAGUAUGUUUUAAUAUCAUAUAUCAACUUAAAUUCUCAAAAUAUUAGUAUCAUCAAUUAAUGAAAGUCUCUCAAUUUCCCUAAGUUAGAUGAGAAAAUGAGAACAUUUUACUCCUCUUUUGUGCUUUCAACACCAAUUCUUAUUAAAAUUUCCCUUUUACAAUUGUGCUGAGAUUUGUAUUCAGUCUUAUACCCGU
rnacentral:lncRNA from 1 species